GGAAAAUUAUUUUUCCUCCCCUACAGUUUGACAACUCAUAAUGGGACCUGCUGAGACAACAUUCUCACUCUGGAACCUGCAGAUAGAAUCCUGGAAAACUGGCAGAAGCCGGCAAAGGAAAUUAUUGUUUUGCUUUUGCAAAAGUGUUUCCACAAAAGUGCAUCAUCUUCAGGGAGAUUUAUGGAAUGGUUUCUGAAAAGUACAGGUUUCUGAUAAUUAUCAGAUCAAACCAUUGAACUGGGUAAGAAUUAAACAGGAAAAUUCUAAGGAAAUACUGGAUUCACAAAACUGCUAACACAAGAUCAAGACCAACAAGACUUUAUUACAUGGGACUGAAGGAACUGAUGAGGGACACAAUUGGAAACGCUGGUUAUAUUAUCAAGACUUUGACUGGAAUGUCAUAUUUGAGAAUGUGCAUAGAAUCAGAUAUGACCAGUUUUAAGGAACCAAGGCUGACUUUAAAGCCAAUGAAUCCCCUUGGAGAGACCAUCUGGUGUCUUGCAGCCUCACCAGGUUCACAGGUACAAGGGUCACUUCCUGACAGGUGCAGGAUAUACUGAGACCUUGAGAAGAGAGGAAAUAAUCCCAUUGUUUUGGUAUUGCAGACAAAGUCUGAGGGCAAGACCUUGGCUUCCGAGCCUCUGAGAGGCUUUUAAAUAGUCCAACCUGAGACUCCUUAAGAAAAGUUCUGACAAAGAGGUUUAAGAGACUGUAUAUAUAGUCAAUCACUGUUCUUGCUGCAAUUAUGUGAAUAAUCAGGCCAAUUUUAUUGAGACUAGAUUUAUUUUGCAAACAAAUGAGUUUUACUGUAAUUAUCUUUGGUAAAAAUGGGGUGAUUAUAGAGAAAAAAAGGUUCCUUUAGUAGAACCUAUACUGCACCUUGUGGAUAUCUGAUUCUAGACCUGUUGAUUGGUCAGAUUUCGUUAUCUAGCUGUAAACUGGACUGGAUCCUGAAUUGUAGUUUCUUCAAAUAAUCUGGCUACAACUCUUCAAACUAACAUUUCCAAUUAUUUUCCCCACUCUUUUGACUUGGAGUCACUAAGAACAAAUUGUAUGAAAUCCCUAGAAAUCUGAUGUAACCUGGUCUAAUGUUAUCAUUUGUAAUUCUAGCUAUUAUCUUAAAGUGGAUUUUACAGAAAUAACCCAAUUUCCUUGCUGAUUGUACUGUAAUGAAUUCUAAUCAGAUCUUUAACCAUGGCCAUUUUAAGUUUUUUGUCAUUUACAGAAAUUAUUGUUUUGCUUUUGCAAAAGUGUUUCCCAAAGUCCUGCAAACUGAAUGUGAACAACUUGGUAUAAAUUUCAGUGAAAUGGCCACAAUAGCUCCUGUU